UACGUAGGGUGCAGGCGUUGUCCGGAAUUAUUGGGCGUAAAGAGCUCGUAGGCGGUUUGUCACGUCGGAUGUGAAAACCCGGGGCUUAACCCCGGGCCUGCAUUCGAUACGGGCUGACUAGAGUUCGGCAGGGGAGACUGGAAUUCCUGGUGUAGCGGUGAAAUGCGCAGAUAUCAUGUGGAACGCCAAUGGUGAAAACAGGUAGCUGGGAGUGUGCUGACGCUGAGACACGAAAGCCAGGGGAGCGAACGGG
rnacentral:rRNA from 1 species